rnacentral:rRNA from 1 species
CGGGAAUUUUGGGCAAUGGGCGAAAGCCUGACCCAGCAACGCCGCGUGAGGGAUGAAGUAUUUCGGUAUGUAAACCUCGAAAGAAUGGGAAGAAUAAAUGACGGUACCAUUUAUAAGCUCCGGCUAACUACGUGCCAGCAGCCGCGGUAAUACGUAGGGAGCAAGCGUUGUUCGGAAUUACUGGGCGUAAAGGGCGCGCAGGCGGUCUUGCAAGUCAGAUGUGAAAGCCCCGGGCUUAACCUGGGAAUUGCGUUUGAAACUACAAGGCUAGAGUGCAGCAGAGGGGAGUGGAAUUCCAUGUGUAGCAGUGAAAUGCGUAGAGAUGUGGAAGAACACCUAUGGCGAAGGCAGCUCCCUGGGUUGACACUGACGCUCAUGCACGAAAGCGUGGGGAGCAAACA